CUCACGCUGCACAACUCUUUAGAUCUUCAAAGCCAGAAGAGGACAACAAAUCACAGCGUCUUGGGCUGAAGCUGAUGAGUGGUUACAACAUUUGGGCAACUACCAAAGCAUGAUACAGAACAAUCAACAUCAACAUUGUGGUGGAAAUGAACUGACUGCAUCCCACUCUGCCUUUCAGCUACAAAGGUGUCCUGGAGGCCCACAGAUGCAUCAAGUCCAAGAGCUUGAAGGAAGAUCGGCUCGUUUAACUCGACAACUAUGAAAGCCAUCCAAGGAAUGAUAUGAGCUCUUGGAGGAGGAGGGUGA